ACGAACGCUGGCGGCAUGCCUAACACAUGCAAGUCGAACGAGACCUUCGGGUCUAGUGGCGCACGGGUGCGUAACGCGUGGGAACCUGCCCUUAGGUUCGGAAUAACUCCCCGAAAGGGGUGCUAAUACCGGAUAAUGUCUUCGGACCAAAGAUUUAUCGCCUUUGGAUGGGCCCGCGUUGGAUUAGCUAGUUGGUAGGGUAAAAGCCUACAAAGGCGACGAUCCAUAGCUGGUCUGAGAGGAUGAUCAGCCACACUGGGACUGAGACACGGCCCAGACUCCUACGGGAGGCAGCAGUGGGGAAUAUUGGACAAUGGGCGAAAGCCUGAUCCAGCAAUGCCGCGUGAGUGAUGAAGGCCUUAGGGUUGUAAAGCUCUUUUACCCGGGAUGAUAAUGACAGUACCGGGAGAAUAAGCUCCGGCUAACUCCGUG
rnacentral:rRNA from 1 species